CAGGGAGACAACAAAAUGUUUAAUAUUAUUAUUUUGUCACCUUAGGUCGAUCGGUAUCUCACAUUCUUGACUUAUAUAAGAAUUUCAUUUCCUAAGUUUUUCUAGGUCACACCCAUUAUUUUUCCUGGGCCAUUAGCUCAGGUGGUUAGAGCGCACCCCUGAUAAGGGUGAGGUCCCUGGUUCAAGUCCAGGAUGGCCCAUAUCUCUAUGUUGGGGGUAUAGCUCAGUUGGUAGAGCGCCUGCUUUGCAAGCAGGAUGUCAGCGGUUCGAGUCCGCUUACCUCCACUGAUUACCACCUCUACCAUAAUUUGUAGAAAGGAAAUGUUUUGAGUUGUGAUCAAAUUCUGAACGAAUCUAGCUUCCUAAUAAAAUCAUUAAGAUGCUGGACUCAUUGAAUUAAUUUCAUUGUUUUCAGAGAACCUUGACAACUGCAUAGAUUAUUUUUAAAGACAAUAAGCAUCUUUAAUGAUGCAGAUUUAUUAUUUGUGCAAAUGCAUUAAUAACAAUUCUAUUAAGCUGAUGCUUCAAUUUUGAAGUUAUUG
rnacentral:tRNA from 1 species